AUAUUGCAUGUAACACAAUAACCAUUUCUUUUAGGAAGAAGAAAACAAGCAAUAGAAGAAAGGUGGGGAGUAUCAAGCAUUCCACUAAGCCUUACUGAGGAAUCUGAGGGUUCCUUAUGCGAAUCUAAUACUUGACCAAGUGGAGCUGAAGCCGUGAUGCCAGCAUUGGGGAACUGUAGAAAAUACAGAUAAACAUUGCCAGAUAGGUUUGAAAGUAAAGACCUUAACCAGCCCAUUGCUUUAAGAUGCAUAUCAAAACCCUCUCAGCAAGUGUGGUGCAAGCUGCACAGAAAGAAAAGGAAAUGGAAGAAAGGGAAAAAAUGAAGAAAAGAAUAAAAUUAAGAGAUGGCAAGGGAGGAAAAGGACGACUCAGAGAGCAGAAAUGUGCCCCUGCAAUAACACAAUGAGGUAAGAGUAACCUUGCUUAGAAUGGUGACAGUGAGAAUGGAAAAAAUUAGAAGUAUUUAAAAUAAAUACAGAAAAGAGUGAAAGAGGAUGCUGUCAUUUGACGUCUUGGCUCACCUAUACUCCUUUCAGAAAUAAAGCAAUCAUCUUCACAGCUCCCAGACAUGUCGGAAGCUGACAGCUCUCAACUGAUUGUCCACCUGGAAACUGUCUUCUCAAAGAAAAGUCUGUCUUAACGUCAUGACCAGUUCCCGCGUUUCAAAGUACAUCCUACAGAAGACCACUGAAAAUUUUCUGAAUCAAAGUUCAGGAAAACUUUUCAUAAAACCUUUAAACUAUGAGGAUUAUCUAUUACAUAUCAAAAGUACCUAAAACAUGCCUGCUGCUUCAGAUGCCUGUGAUUUUAAUUUUAAUUAGCUCAUAAAUAUCUUGGAAGCUCCGUAUGACUAGCACAAUUACACAUGUACAUGAUAAAAUAUUUGCAUUUAUCAUGGACAUUGUAUUAAGUAGAUAAUGAUGUUGGAUGCGAAUUGCAGCAAAAAUCAGCAGCUUUUUUAGUAACGGCAGAUAGUGAGGUGUUGAAUUUCUUAUCUAUGUUGAAGAGUUUUCUGACUCACUUCUUGUUUGUGAAGAUAGAAAAAAGAUCCAUUUAUUCUUCUUCAGUGUUUAAAUAGGAUUUAUAGCCCACGAAAUUCAUGAAGUGUCACAUCUUUUACUUAGAUAUUUAAUUAUGAAAGACUAAAAAGAGCCAAAGUUAAGAAUAAACCAUACAAUAUCAGAAGGAAAGAAAACAGAAACGACAAAAAAAGUUAUUACCAACACUGACACUAUGAAGCACUGAAAGGGUGCAUUGAAUAUACUCAUCUCCUACUUUUUCUUCAAUACCACAG
rnacentral:lncRNA from 1 species